UACGUAGGGGACUAGCGUUGUUCGGAAUUACUGGGCGUAAAGCGCACGUAGGCGGAUUUGUAAGUCAGCGGUGAAAUCCCGGGGCUCAACCUCGGAACUGCCUUUGAUACUGCAAAUCUCGAGUCCGGAAGAGGUGAGUGGAAUUCCUAGUGUAGAGGUGAAAUUCGUAGAUAUUAGGAAGAACACCAGUGGCGAAGGCAGCUCGCUGGAACGGUACUGACGCUGAGGCGCGAAAGCGUGGGGAGCAAACAGG
rnacentral:rRNA from 1 species